CAAUAGAGAAACUAGAGAAGACAGAACAAAGAGAAAAAGGCUGCAAAAGAACAACACAAAAUACAACAGCCAAAGUAAAGAACAACAAAAUGUCAACGAGAGACUGGCACACCUAAAACAAAAUUACCUUUUAGGUGAAAAUCUUUAUAGUCUCUUCCACAUCCCUGACCAGCAUCAUCGCAUUUUCUGCCUCUUUCAGGUCUUUAUUUUCUUGCACCUGUUGAUUGCCUUUGGUCUUCAACUCCAGCUCUCUUGCAUUUUGCCUAGUUUUGUGUCUGGAGGAGUGUUGAGAAGAACUAGAAUUCGUCUCAUCAUCAAUAAUCACAGUGUCUUUAUUCUACUUAUCCUUCUCCAAGAAAGCAACCAGCGCAUUCAUGUUUUGAAAAGACACCUUCAACACAGACAAACUAUGCUCCAUGAAUUUCCUCAGAGCACUCUUAGUUUUUUUAAUCCAAUUAUUUAUCAGAUCAUUAUCAGACUCACCCUUUUCUUUGAGAGUCCUCACCACAUCCUCCAGGUGCUUCAAAUCUCCCUUUAUAAUCUCACUUUCUAGCCAGUCCAGAAUUUCUUUUUCAUCCUCUGUUGCACUAUUAUCCUCCACAUUUUCCUCUUUACCUUUAAUGUUGAUAUCCUUAACCAAAUUAUCAAUUUUGAAAUCUAGCUCUCUCUAUUUUUCCUAAAUGCUAGUAAUGUUAUCAACCACCCACUUCUUGAAAUUUAACAUUUCUAGAGUGUUGUUUCUAGCAGCAUUCAUAAUGGAAUCCACAUUCUCCAUAUCCUGGGCAGAAUCCUCAGACCUAGGGUUGCCCUCCUCCAUAUUAUGUUGAACAUCAUCCCUGUUGUCUGAAUCAUAGGGAUUCUCCUUCGCCUCUGAUGCUUCAACAUCCUCCUCUCUGGUCAUUAACCUUGUCUCCUUCCUCACCCUCAACCUCCUUCUCCUUCUCAUUCUCUGCCUCUUCUUCCACCUCCUUCUCCUGCUCCUGCUCAAAAACAACCUUCUCUUUAGUGUCUUCUUCAUCUUUUUCACUAACCCUCGAUUUCAUUUUAGGAGGAAGAUUAGAAGAAUCCUCAUCAGAGUUAGAACCGUCAUAAUCCUCAGAAAUAUGGGCAUUCUCCACAAAGGGAUCAUCCUUAUUAGCCUUAACUUUACCCUUAAGAUUCACAUAUAUUAACAAAAUAAGACCUUGGUGAGCAAUGGGAUAGGAAUUAGGUUUCUUAGCAUGGUCAGCCAGACUAUCAUUAAGGAAGGAGGUCAAGUAGAAGGGCAGAGAUAUCUUAGAGCCAUGGCAAAAGUGGUUAAGGAUAACAAAGUGGUAAUUGUAGACUUUCGAAAACUUACCAUCAACCGUAAGAUACUCCAUUAACAGUUUCAAGAUUUUUUGCCAAAAUGAUUUUACCUGGUUAGGGAGAUAAUAGGAAGUAUUAUCCUUUUUGGCGAGUUGAGCCCUUUCUUCUUCAUUUUUGGGGAAAUUCUUGAUGGCUUCCACCGAGAACUUGCGAUCUCUAUAAAACUUGAUGCCAUCCUUCUGCAAACUGGUCACCUCAGCCACCAAAUCUUCAUCCACUUUCCAGGUCUGACCAAACAGAGUACCUCUAUUAUUUUUCCAGCCCUUGGCAAAACCAUGGGAAAUGGACUUCUUGCUCCCAUGCAAUUUCUCCAUAUAAUCAGUGAAGCCAUAUCUAUGCAACCUUCUCCAAAUUUUCCUUUCACCCUUCCAACUAUCACAACUAGUGGGCUCAUUACGGUUGAGAUUUCCUCCCAUAAUGUGAUAGUUGUUCAAGUCAAAACCCUCAAAGGAGUGCAAACUAACCAACUGCUAAAGAACAGAGACGUUGGAUUCGAGAACCAAGGUAAUUUUCUUGUUUUUCAAGUAGCCUUUUAAAACAUACAAAUUAACCUAGUACUUAAUAUGAUAAGGCCCUUCACACCUAUACUCAUUAGCGCGAUGCCUGAGAUAGGUCAUCAUCUGACAAUCCACCUCACUCCAAAAUCUAUCAUUGAAGUCCGAACCCAGAAAGGUAAUUAUGAAAUUAAUAUGUACCAUGGAUUCUGUCAUAAAAUAAUUGCUCUCGGACUCUGUUCUUACAUGAUGACUCUCUGAUAUAAUUAGCAUCUUCUGCUAAAAUGACCCCCUCAUUGGCUAACAAAUCAGCUACCCUAUUACCUUCCCUAAAGGUCUGGGUAAUAAUCACACUAUCAUAGGCGUCUUACAUUUUUUAGCAUUAUAAAUGAUAUUUUGGAUAUUCCAAGAAGGGGAACUAAUACCUUUAAUAGCUUGGAUUAUAUUAAGGGAAUCCCCCUCCAGCCAAAUUCUUUUAAAAUUGAAUCUCUAAACAAGCUGAAGACAUUUUAACAUUGCGAGAGCUUCUGCCAAAUGGUUGUUUUGAAUUCCAAAGGGAGAGGCAAUCACAGCAACACAAAAUCCAUAAGAGUUUCUGAUAACCCCUGCCCCUCCAACAUUCCCUGGAUUUCCUUUAGCUGCUCCAUCGAAGUUCAACUUAACCCAAUCAUGAGGAGGGAACCUCCACACCACAUUAUCUCUUCUACUCUUCAUAUCAGACUUCCAGACCUUGUUUAUCAAAUUCCAUUCAGUUAGAAUUCUUUUCUCAUUAUCAGUCAUAUCAAUAUAACUACACUGCUUGUUACUUUUGUGAAUGGUAUUGAUGUUUUCUUUAAUAGCCCUACAAAUCUUUUCAAAAACCACCUGAGAAGAACAUUUAAUCUUUCUAAAAAAAUUAUUGUUUCUCUCCUUCCAAAUAUACCAACAGGUCAUAGGAAGAACAAAGGACCAGAGGGUCUUAAUCAUGGGAAGCUUGGUAGGGAAAAUCCAAUGCCAAAGGACUUCCUUAACACUAUUCUGCAUAACCCAAUCAACUUUCCAUUGCGUCCACACUUUAACCUAGAUUUCCUAGGUAAAAGAAGAGUGAAUGAACAAAUGAUCCACAAACUCGGCCUCUUUCUGACAUAACUCACACCUAUUAGGAAUCAUAAAUCCUCUUUGAACCAGGUUAUCAAUAGUAAGAAUCUUGUUGUGAAUAUAGGGUUGCAAGCCUAAGUAGCUAUUUUUUUGUAAGCAGAGGCAACAGUAAAAUUAACCCUAGGAUUACUCUUCCAUAAGAAGACAUCAUCUGAAUCUUUGCUGACAAAAAAGGACAGCAAAUCAUGUUGGAGCAAAGAAAAUCUAGCAUAAACCGCAUCAAGUCUAACCCAUUUAUUCUCCUCCCAAUAAUUAUAGACCAUAGAACCAAACCUCCUUUUAUAGUAUUCAAUGAAAUGGUUGCAACCCUGAUUAAAAAGAGGCCCAUCUUUGAUCUAGACAUCCUCCCAAAAUGUGAUUUUUUUUACCUUUGCCAAGGACCCAUCCAGCUCUAGCUUUAGCAACUUUAAUAAAUUUUAUCAUACUAUUCCAUAUAAAAGAUCCAGCAGGGAUAUCUUCAGAACAAAGAAGGGAAUGAAUGGGUUGAUUAUGGAUGUAUUUGUCAAACCACACCCUACUCCAAUCUCUCUUAAUACCAUAUUCCCUCCAAAUCUAUUUGGCUAACAAAGCUUUGUUGAAAGGUUUAAGAUAUUUAAUACCUAACCCCCCAUUGCUUUUAGGACCACAGACUUUAUCCCAAGCAACCAAAGCAAUCCUUUUCUUAUCUUCCACACCAGACCAAAGAAAUCUUUUCUGAAUUCUUUCUAAAGCUUCUACAAAUUUGACAAGUAUACUAAACAAACUAAGAGCAUAAACAAGAAAAUUCUGAAGAGUAGCUUGAAGAAGUUGAAGCUUACCAGCCUGCGAUAACAUAGAGCAUUUCCAACCAGCUAAUUUUUUGUUGAACUUAUCAAUAAAAGAAUUCCUGAAAGAGUUUGGAGGAGCCAAACCAAGAGGGAGACCCAAAUAAGUAGAGGGGAGCAGCUCAACCUUACAACCAAUUAUGUUAGCAAUCCUCUGUUGCCUCGACAAGGGGGUGUUGAUGAAGUAAAUAGCAAAUUUCUCCCAAUUAACCUGCUGGCUAGUAGCAAGGGAAUAAGAUCUGAGAGCACCUUUGAAGGCAGAAGCUUCACUAACAGAAGAGUAUCUCAACAAUAUAGUAUCAUCAACAAACUAUUGAUGAGUGCAGAAGAAAUUAGCAAAAGAGGGUUGCAACCCUUUGAUGGUCCUAUUCUCUUUCAACUUUUGAAUCAAUCUGCUCAAACAUUUCGCCAAAAUAGUGAAAAGAAUAGGCAGGAUAGGAUCUCCUUGCUUGAGACCCCUUGAAGAUUUAAAAAAUCUAGAAGAUCCAUUAAUAAGAAUAGAAAAAUUUGGUGUAGAUAUCAACUCUGUAGUGGUUUUGAUAACCUUCUCAUCAAAUCCAAAGGCCUCCACAAUCCUAAAAAGAACCUGCCAUUCAACCCUAUCAUAGGCUUUUGCCAAAUCCAACUUUAUGAGAAAUCCCUCUUUGUUUGCAGCAUUAAGAGAAUGGAUAUUCUUAUGCACAAGAAUUAUAGAAUCCAAAAUCUGCCUACCUGGGACAAAUCAUUUUUGCUCCUUAGAGAUAACAAGGGGAAGAAAAACCAACAAUCUAGGAGUCAGGACUUUUGAAAUUAUCUUGUAAAAAGAAUUACAUAGACUUAUUGACCUAAACUUACCCAUAGAAUCAACUCCAGCCACCUUAGGAAUUAGAGAAAUGAAUGUAGAGUUGAUUUCUUUAAGAAUUCUUCUAGAUCCAAAGAAUUCUUUGACAGCAUUGGCCAUAUCAACCCCAACAAUGUGCCAAUAUUCCUGAAAGAAAAACAUGGGGAAACCAUCCAGGCCCGAUGCCUUAUCCCCUUGAAAGGAGAAAACAACUCUUUUAAUUUCAUCAGUUGAGAGGAUGGCAGAUAAUAUCUUAUUCUAAUUAGGUCCAAUAAUCUUAGGAAUAUUAUCAACUAGAUCUUGUUGCUUUACAAUGUCAAUUUCCUUGCUACCUGUUAGGAGGUUAGAGAAGAACCUUACAGCUUCAUCACCUAUAUCAUCAUCUUUGACAAGAAUUUUGUCAUCAACAAUUAAUCUAGAAAUUCUGCUUGAUUAUUUAUGCUUCAUUGAUGUCAUAUGAAAGAAUUUAGUAUUUCUGUCACUAGCAUCUAACCAAAUAGCCCUAGAUCUCUGCCUCCAGUAAAUUUCUUCUCUUGAAAUAGUGUUGUGUAAUUUGGCUAGAACCUCAUCUUCUUUAGCCUUGGGGAAAUUCUUAUAACCAUACUCCUGAAUAGAAUUUUGAAUCUGUUCUAAUUCCUCCUUAAGCUUCCUCUUGAAUUCAAAAAUAUCUCCAAAAACCUUUUUAUUCCAAACCUUAAUGUUGUCUUUGAUGUUUCUUAACUUUUUAGCAACUUUGAACAUGGCAAAACCAUCCACAGUUAUAUUCCACCAUUUGGCAAUGGAAGCUUCCAAAGAAGGGUGUGAAAUCCAUAUUUUUUCAAACCGGAAUGGAAAGCAAUGUUUUCCCUUAAUAGAAUCAGCAACAAAAGAAAUGGGAUAAUGGUCCGACCCUAUUCUGUUAAUAACAGACAGAGAACAUCUAUACUUAAGGACCCAGUUAGGAGUGAUAAGGGAUCUAUCAAGCCUUACCUAAAUAAGAUCUCCUCCAUCCCUUCGAUUAGACCAAGUGUAGGAUGUUGUUGAAAGGUCAACAUCAAUGAGGGCAUUGGCAUUGAUGAAGUCCAUAAGAUCAGUCCUGCUAUCCAGUUGAGCUUGGGUUCCUCCAAAUUUGUCAAUCUCCUGCAGAGGGGUGUUGAAAUCUCCCAUCAAAAGCCAACUAUCCUGGGAGAACAUCCCUCUUUUCUAUUGGAUUUUGUCCCACAACUUACUCCUAGCAACUUUAGAGUUGGGAGCAUAAAUGUUGGUGACCACCCAUUACUGUCCUUCAGCAAUGCAUUUCACUCUCAUAGAAAUUAUGUUACCAUCUUCCUCAAUCAAAUCUCCAUCAAUAGUUUUCUUAUUCCAAAUUAUGGCAACCCCGCCAGACGCUCCAUUAGAACUACUACCACAAACACCCCCCUGUUUAAAGAAUUUUAAUUUUUCAACUUUUUCCUUACUCAUUUUAUUUUCCUAAACCAGGAUAAUGUCUGGCUUAUGAUCUCUAAUAAAAUUCCUGAGCACAUCCUAUUUAUGGAGACCAUUUAGGCCUCGAAUGUUCCAAGAGAUUACCUUCAUUUGGAAUCCUAGGAGCAGGAUUCCUGAAUGGUUCGCUGCCUUCCAUCAGCUAUAUUUUGUUUUCUGUCCUAGUCCCUAUGCCACUUCAUAGUUUUACGUGCCUGUGGGGAUUUGGAAAGACCAAUAUCCACCUUAGACCUGGUUCUAGUUUUAACCUCAUUAGUACAACCUGUUUUCUUGUUUUUCUUUUUUCCCACUCCUAUUAACUCUUCAUCUUCUUCAUCUUUAUAUGCAGACUUCUUAUUAUUCCAAGGUUCUCCUUUUCUCUGAGAAGAGGUGGGCGAAUCAGUUCCAAAGUUAUGGAAUAGAGAGUUAAGGUUAACCUGGGGCGAUCUGAACUGGGUCUUUUUUUCAAUGAUAACAUCUGGACCUUCAGAGUCCUUUGAACACACUUUAUUACUUUCAUGUUCUGUAUCUUUUGGAGACUCAUAUUGUGAUCCAUUUAUGUAGCCAAUCUCACCCCCUUCAAGAAUUUCUUCUAUAAUUACAUUUUCUUCCUCUUGAAUCUGUAAAGCUUCAAAUCCAUUGAUUAUUUUAACUUCAAAUACAUUCUCUUCAUCCUUUAUGAUUUCCUUCUGAGGAGUGUCCUUGGAAGGACUAGUUUUCCUUUCAUCCCUUGUUAUAUCUUUUGAGUUACUAGGAAGUCUAAUUCCUCCUUCCGAUCUACCCUCCUCAUUUUCUUUCAUCUUCUCUUUCCAGAUCUGUUUGACAUGAUUAUUGUGCUUCUAAGCAUUCUUUGGGUUACUAGGACAAGCCUUUGCCCAAUGUCUAACUUUCUUACAAGAGAAGCACACAAAGCAAAAGGGAGAGAUUAAAACUCUAUAACUUGUUCCCACUUACCUAGCUUGGAAUUUAUUUCGAUAGAGCUAGGAAGGUCCAUGUUUUGUGAGAUAUUAACGCAUAUCCUUGCAUACACCAAUCUCUUUCAUGCUGCAUUCAUAGAGUCUAUAGCCAAAAGCUCCCCAAAGGAUUUAGCAAUGCCUGAGAACACGUCCUCCAACCAAAAUUCAAGUGGCAAACUAGGCAACCGCACCCAGACCGCAUCAGAUUCAAAAAAGGAAUCAUUAAGCUCCAUUUUUGGAGACCAUUUUCUUAAGGAUAAAGAAGACUUCCCAAGCAUCCAGGGUCCUCCACUCAAAGCCAUUUCCAAAUCUUCACCACAGGAGAAGGAAAAUACAAAAAAAACCCUUGACAGGGCUAACACAUCAACCUGUCCUUUUACCCUCCAUUUUAUCUUCACAAAAGACCUAACAACUUCAAUAUUAGGUCUGGGUCCAACAAAUUUCCCCACCAGAGAAAAUUCCAUUAGAGAAAUACUGUGAUCUAUGACCACAUCUGGUACUGCAAUAGCUAAUCUGCCUACCUUUCUAUCAGAAAUAUUUUCCACACAGGGAAAGGUAGAUUUACCAGUAGGCUUGUUUUCAAAUAAACUGUUCUAGGGUUUGAACACCUUGACUUUAGCCAUCUUUUCCAACUCACCGUUCAAGUUCUCGGGACCCAACUUUGAAGAAUCUUCAGUAUUUUUAAAGUCAAGAGGAGGGUCCCGAUGUCGUGGUUCCCCAUCCUUUCGACCAUCCUCAUCAUCCACCGUAGAUCCCAAAGAGACAAUUUGUCCUUGAGUUGUAGAGGCAACAAAACCAGAGGAACCAGUCAUGUUGUUCCCUCCAUUCGCAGAAUUCAAAUUUCCCUCCAGCUGCGUUAUUCCCUCCAUUUUUUUAAUAAUCUAUUUGAUGUUAAGUUCCAACAUAAAGUGAAUUUAUUUGUUUUAAUUAAGCAAGCAAUUAUAAUAAUGUGCAUGACAUUGGAAUGUAGCCUGAUAAUCAUGGAACACAACCUCCACAUAAAGGUCUGGAUGUGCAUCCCCAUAGUGGAGAGCAUGUAGUCGAUGGUGACCAAGUGGAGCAUGACCCGGGUAGACAACAUCAGAAACACGAUGUUCCCCAAUCAGAGGAUCUAGAGGGUAUUCAACAUGUUGAGGUUGAGGCUAGAAAAAAUGAUUUCGAAGAUGAUGUGGCCCCAUUAGAUAAAGAGCGUCGCGGUUAUGUUCUUUAAAUUAAUGAAAUACUUGUAACAAAAACAAAAAAUGAUUUGAAUUUAACCCAUUUCUUUGUUAUUGCAGAGGACCCCCCUUUGCAUCAGUGUCCUCAUCCUCAGAAGAGGACUAGGCAUACAUCAAGAUCACGAGUAGAGGGUAGAACAAUUGAAGAGGGGGGAAGUGAUGAAGAAAACGAUGGUCCACUUAGACUUUUCAUAGCUUAAAAAAAAUGAUUGUAAUCUACAUUAUUUGAUAAUGAUUGAAUGUAAUUAUGUGCUAAUGAAUGUUCAUGAAAGGUAUGUGUUAAUUAAUAUUGAUGAAUGUUGCGUGUUAAUGAGUGUUAAUGAAUGUUAUGUGUUAUUGAACGUUAUGUUAUAAUGAAUGAAUAUUAUAUUUUAUUAAUGGAUGAAACAAUGAAUGAAUGUUAGAUGUUAAUGGAGAAUUUAGAGUGAUGUUAGGGGGGGGGGAGAGGAGCCAAAUGAGAUUCCACCUUCACGUGGUUGGCCUUGUUAAGUAGAGAAUAUUAAACUAUUCUCGAAACCAAGCGAAACUCAAUAAGAUAACACACUUUUCAAUAUCUCAUUAUGUUGCAUAGUUAAUCUUAUUGAAUAAUGUAUAUUGAAUCUUAAUUGCAAUGUCCAACAGAGCCAACACGAACAACAACACCACAAGUAAGUGGUUUUUUUUUUAAGUUUUUUUUUUCAUGAUAAUCUGGGAAGGUUCAUCUACAGUGUUAUGUGUAACUGUGAAGGUGAGAAAUUUAUAUUUUUUGUGAUUCUGACAUUUAUUUUUUG